GACGAACGCUGGCGGCGUGCCUAAUACAUGCAAGUAGAACGCUGAAGGAGGAGCUUGCUUCUCUGGAUGAGUUGCGAACGGGUGAGUAACGCGUAGGUAACCUGCCUGGUAGCGGGGGAUAACUAUUGGAAACGAUAGCUAAUACCGCAUAAGAGUAGAUGUCGCAUGACAUUUGCUUAAAAGGUGCAAUUGCAUCACUACCAGAUGGACCUGCGUUGUAUUAGCUAGUUGGUGAGGUAACGGCUCACCAAGGCAACGAUACAUAGCCGACCUGAGAGGGUGAUCGGCCACACUGGGACUGAGACACGGCCCAGACUCCUACGGGAGGCAGCAGUAGGGAAUCUUCGGCAAUGGGGGGAACCCUGACCGAGCAACGCCGCGUGAGUGAAGAAGGUUUUCGGAUCGUAAAGCUCUGUUGUAA
rnacentral:rRNA from 1 species